rnacentral:rRNA from 1 species
AACGAACGCUGGCGGCAGGCCUAAUACAUGCAAGUCGAACGAAGCCUUCGGGUUUAGUGGCGCACGGGUGAGUAACGCGUGGGAAUGUACCCUUGGGUGCGGAACAACAGUUGGAAACGACUGCUAAUACCGCAUAAUAUCUCCGGAUCAAAGAUUUAUCGCCCAAGGAUCAGCCCGCGUUAGAUUAGCUUGUUGGUGGGGUAAAAGCCUACCAAGGCGACGAUCUAUAGCUGGUCUGAGAGGAUGAUCAGCCACACUGGAACUGAGACACGGUCCAG